GCCGGGCGUGGUGGCUCACGCCUGUAAUCCCAGCACUUUGGGAGGCCGAGGCGGGCGAAUCACCUGAGGCCAGGAGUUCUAGACCAACCAGGCCAACAUGGUGAAACCCCGUCUCUA
rnacentral:SRP_RNA from 1 species